rnacentral:rRNA from 1 species
AUGGUUGCGCUUAUCCAAUGCCACGCAUUGGUCCUAGAUAGCAUACUGCAAGGUUUUCCCGGCCGGCGCAUAGGUUUCCCGAUCACCUAUUUGGGUUUGCCAAUCUCCUUAGGAAGACUGAAGAAGGUGCACCUCCAGUUCAUUUUUGAUCGCAUCAAGGCUAAGCUAGCAGGAUGGAAGAGGAGACUAAUGAACAGCGCGGGCCGGCGAGGGCUUGUCCGCUCUAUGCUUUCAGCCAUUCCUAUCUUCGUGCUCACUGCAAUCAAGGCCUCGGGUGGAAUUUUGAAGGAUAUUGACAAGAUAUGCAAGCAUUUCCUCUGGGCUCAGGAAGAGAAACUGUCCGGCGGAAAAUGCAAAGUCAACUGGCAGACGGUUUGCUCCUCGAUCGAACUUGGCGGACUAGGAGUUCUAAAUAGUGCAAAAUUCGCAAGGGCCCUGCAGCUGAGAUGGUUAUGGCUGUCGUGGGAUGAGAUUGGCCGGCCUUGGACUAGCUUCCCCUUGCAGUGUGAUGACCAGGAUUGCACUACUAGGGAAAACAUUAUACACAGAAACAUAGCAGUAGCGCGGGUCAAAAAACGGCGCUAG